ACGCAAUAGAUACCCCGGUAGUCCACGCCCUAAACGAUGUCUACUAGUUGUCGGGUCUUAAUUGACUUGGUAAACGCAGCUAAACGCGUGAAGUAGACCGCCUGGGGAGUACGGUCGCAAGAUUAAAACUCAAAGGAAUUGACGGGGACCCGCACAAGCGGUGGAUGAUGUGGAUUAAUUCGAUGCAACGCGAAAAACCUUACCUACCCUUGACAUGGAAGGAAUCCCUGAGAGAUCGGGGAGUGCUCGAAAGAGAACCUUUACACAGGUGCUGCAUGGCUGUCGUCAGCUCGUGUCGUGAGAUGUUGGGUUAAGUCCCGCAACGAGCGCAACCCUUGUCAUUAGUUGCUACGAAAGGGCACUCUAAUGAGACUGCCGGUGACAAACCGGAGGAAGGUGGGGAUGACGUCAAGUCCUCAUGGCCCUUAUGGGUAGGGCUUCACACGUCAUACAAUGGUACAUACAGAGGGCCGCCAACCCGGCGAGGGGGAGCUAAUCCCAGAAAGUGUAUCGUAGUCCGGAUUGUAGUCUGCAACUCG
rnacentral:rRNA from 1 species